rnacentral:rRNA from 1 species
CCCUUAGAUGUUCUGGGCCGCAAGCGUGCUACACUGAGUGGAUCAGCGGGUCAGGUUGCGCGAAAGCGUUUCCUAAUCUUUAAAUCCGCUCGUGAUGGGGAUUGACGGUUGCAAUUUUCUGUCAUGAACGAGGAAUACCUUGUAAGCGCGGGUCAUCAUCCCGCGCUGAAUACGUCCCUGCCCUUUGUACACACCGCCCGUCGCUCCUACCGAUUGAGUGGUCCGGUGAGGCUUUGGGAUCUGAGCGGAAAGAGCGUUUCGCUGUUUCUGCUCGGAAAACUCAGUCGAACCUUAUCAUUUAGAGGAAGGAGAAGUCGUAACA